GUAGGUGGCAAGCGUUGUCCGGAAUUAUUGGGCGUAGAGCGCGCGCAGGCGGUUCUUUAAGUCUGAUGUGAAAGCCCACGGCUCAACCGUGGAGGGUCAUUGGAAACUGGAGAACUUGAGUACAGAAGAGGAAAGCGGAAUUCCACGUGUAGCGGUGAAAUGCGUAGAGAUGUGGAGGAACACCAGUGGCGAAGGCGGCUUUCUGGUCUGUAACUGACGCUGAGGCGCGAAAGCGUGGGGAGCAAACAGGAUUAGAUACCCUGGUAGUCCACGCCGUAAACGAUGAGUGCUAAGUGUUAGGGGGGUUUCCGCCCCCCUUAGUGCUGCAGCUAACGCAUUAAGCACUCCGCCUGGGAGUACGGCCGCAAGGCCG
rnacentral:rRNA from 1 species